rnacentral:rRNA from 1 species
UACGGGGGGGGGCAAGCGUUGUUCGGAAUUACUGGGCGUAAAGGGCUCGUAGGCGGCCAACUAAGUCAGACGUGAAAUCCCUCGGCUUAACCGGGGAACUGCAUCUGAUACUGGAUGGCUUGAGUUCGGGAGAGGGAUGCGGAAUUCCAGGUGUAGCGGUGAAAUGCGUAGAUAUCAGGAGGAACACCGAUGGCGAAGGCAGGUCUCUGGGCCGAUACUGACGCUGAGGAGCGAAAGCGUGGGGAGCGAACAGG